GCCAUGUCUCCUGCUCCGCUCCGUGGCCUGAGCACUAGCGAGUAGACCGGAACUGCGAUGUAGCCUGCCUGUCCUGCCUUCACCCGCUCUCCAGGAAGUUCCAGGGAAGGGGAGAGCACCCAGCUUCCCUGGGAUUUGCCGUUUGCCUCUGCAAGGCCUGGGGCUGCGGGCUGUGUGACCCAGAAGCUUCUGCUCCUGCUGGCGGAGCACCUCCCACCCUGGGAGCCCUCAGGCCUCCAUGCAGGCCCCACCCAGGUGUGGAGCUUCUGUGCUGCCCCUUCCCCAAUGUUGUGCCUGCGCCCAAGGAAGAGCAGCAGGAGGCCGAGGGUUCCGAGGGAAGCAGCUCACCUGCAGCAUUCCAACCCAACACCCAGAUACAAGGUUGGAACUUCCAGAGCUGGAUUCCAGGCAUCCUUUAAGUUUGGAUUGUAGAGACUUGGCUGUGCCACUUCCACGAACUGAAUAGUGGGCAGUGUUUGAACUUCAGACUACUGAAAUAACUGAUAUGAAGAAGGAGAACCCAGGUGCUCACAUCCUACAUUCCCAUUAGAGCAUGAUGGCAUCUGUGAAUGACAAAUUACAUUAAAAGUUAUUUUUUUCUUCAGAGUAUUAGCUUGCUUCUUACCUCUGAUGAUAUGUGUAUAUCCUAUCCUUUCUAAAGCACACUACAUUUCUGAUACAUGUACAGUACUAUGAAUAUCUGAACUUCUUUCUUACAAUUUAGAUUGCAGACACAAUUCUUUCAGACAGAAAACAUUUAACCACUCACAUUUUAUGACACUCUGAAUAUAUAAUUCAAUUUCAAAAUACAGAAGGAAGUAGCAUGUAGUUUUCAAGUGUGGCUUUUUCUCCUCCCCUCAUCCAACCAGCAGUGUUUGGAGACAUAUUUGGUCUCACACUUGGUGCAGAGCUCCUGUCACACAGUGGGUAGAGUCCAAGAUUGCUGUUAAAUUUCCCACCAUGCACAAAAUUUCCCACAAUGCACAGGAUAGCCAAUACCACAGAACUUUGGGGCCCCAAGAAGUCACAUGACAGUUGAUGAGCCCAGUCUAGCAAAUCAUCACUGAGUUGUGCUCCCUGCAGCACAUAUAAAAUAAAACAUAUUUUGAACACUUUUAGGGGAAACAGAGUAGAGUGAGUUGGUUCACAAAUACAGUGAGAACAGGAAUGCUAAGGCAGUCACUGAGGGUGACUUCUAACUUAAUAUCUUUAAUAUUUGUGUUUGUUGAUUUUUGGAGUUGUUGCCUAUAUCAUUCUCUCAGAGACUUACUCUUCUCAAUUGUCUUUGUCAUGCACACAUUACCAUUCUUUUCUAUAUAGAUUUCUAGUUAUGAUGUCACUUCUAUAUGGACUAUAAAAGAUCAAAGUUUGAGAAACAGAGGAAAGGUGAUUCUCAGGAGUGAUGAGGUAGGGGAGGGAGAUGUUAGUGAAAGGGUACAACCUUGCAGUUAGAAGAUGAAUACUUUCUGGAUAGCUGCUGCAACAUGAGUGGAAUAUACUUGAUAAUAAUGUAAUAUAUCAUUGAUAUUUGCUCACAACAUAGCUCUUACAAGGUUUCUUUCUUUCUUUCUUUUUUGACAGGCAGAGUUAGACAGUGAGAGAGAGAUAGAGAGAAAUGUCUUCCUCCCAUUGGUUCACCCCACAAAUGGCCGCU